UACAGAGGUCUCAAGCGUUGUUCGGAUUCAUUGGGCGUAAAGGGUGCGUAGGUGGCGCCGUAAGUCGGGUGUGAAAUUUCGGAGCUUAACUCCGAAACUGCAUUCGAUACUGCGGUGCUUGAGGACUGGAGAGGAGACUGGAAUUCAUGGUGUAGCAGUGAAAUGCGUAGAGAUCAUGAGGAAGACCAGUGGCGAAGGCGGGUCUCUGGGCCGAUACUGACGCUGAGGAGCGAAAGCGUGGGGAACGAACAGG
rnacentral:rRNA from 1 species